UACGGAGGAUGCAAGCGUUAUCCGGAAUUAUUGGGCGUAAAGCGUCCGCAGGUGGCACUUCAAGUCUGCUGUCAAAGACCGGGGCUUAACCCUGGAAAGGCAGUGGAAACUGAAGCGCUAGAGUGUGGCAGGGGUAGAGGGAAUUCCCGGUGUAGCGGUGAAAUGCGUAGAGAUCGGGAAGAACAUCGGUGGCGAAAGCGCUCUACUGGGCCAUAACUGACACUGAUGGACGAAAGCUAGGGGAGCGAAAGGG
rnacentral:rRNA from 1 species